rnacentral:misc_RNA from 1 species
GCCGAGCCUAAAUCCACCGGUGCAGCAUCCGGCGCCAGAAAGCACCGCUCAAAAGCUGCAACGGAAUCGCCACCGUCGAUUAAAGAAGGAGACGAGCACCUAAUGACAAGAUUCCGNGCUUACAGUUCGCCAGCUGGGCAGCCGGCAGCUGCUGCCGGGGGCACAAUUGAGGAAGCGGAGGAAGACUAGGCUUUAAAGGCAAGGUCUUGGCGGCGCUUGUAGUGGUGGGGGG